rnacentral:rRNA from 1 species
ACACCCGGUUCCAUCUCGAACCCGGAAGUUAAGCCUAUCAGCGCCGAUGGUAGUGUGCGGGCAACUGCAUGUGAGAGUAGGCCAUUGCCAACA